AACAGGCUCCCAGGAAUCAUGCUGCAGUCAUGCACCCAGAGAACAAAAGAUGGUUCGACAAAAGUAUGUUUUUGGAUGUAAUGAGAAGAAAAGCUUAUUUAGCUUUCCAUGUGUUAAGACAACAGUGGAUGCAGAUUAUUUUUCUUGGACAGCAACGUAAUUCCAAAUGGGUUUGUUUGCUCCCUGGCUGCAUUUCGGAGAGGAUUACUUUACAAUCAAGGCUCAGUUUGAUGCCGGAUUUGCCACUUGUUUACAACUGUUGAACUUUAAAAAACACUUGAGUUGCAACCACAAGCUAACUUCAAUAUGUGGAAACAAAAUAUUUUCAUGAUUGCCAUGAAGAGAAUAUGGUGCUAGAAGCUUUGUUGUAAAAGCAGAGCAAGGCGACUAAUGUUUAUGAAAUGUUUUAUGAAUGAAAAUGUUUAUUUGUCAAUAGGUUUUACCUCAGUCUAACAUUUAUCUUAGUGGUUUCUAUUUUCUUAAUUUAGUAACUUAUAUGUGAGAACUAAAAUAUAUUUUACUGAUUCCUGUCUAUAUAUAAAGAUGAUGUUAUUGAUUGUUGUAACUUAAUGGAGAGGCGGCUAACUGCUGUGCUAAGAUCUGUUAAUAAAGUGAAUUAAAUGUUUAUUCAUUUUAAAUAA